UUGGUGCCUUCGGGAACUCUGAGACAGGUGCUGCAUGGCUGUCGUCAGCUCGUGUUGUGAAAUGUUGGGUUAAGUCCCGCAACGAGCGCAACCCUUAUCCUUUGUUGCCAGCGGUCCGGCCGGGAACUCAAAGGAGACUGCCAGUGAUAAACUGGAGGAAGGUGGGGAUGACGUCAAGUCAUCAUGGCCCUUACGAGUAGGGCUACACACGUGCUACAAUGGCGCAUACAAAGAGAAGCGACCUCGCGAGAGCAAGCGGACCUCAUAAAGUGCGUCGUAGUCCGGAUUGGAGUCUGCAACUCGACUCCAUGAAGUCGGAAUCGCUAGUAAUCGUGGAUCAGAAUGCCACGGUGAAUACGUUCCCGGGCCUUGUACACACCGCCCGUCACACCAUGGGAGUGGGUUGCAAAAGAAGUAGGUAGCUUAACCUUCGGGAGGGCGCUUACCACUUUGUGAUUCAUGACUGGGGUGAAGUCGUAACAAGGUAACCGUAGGGGAACCUGCGGUUGGAUCACCUCCUUA
rnacentral:rRNA from 4 species